GAUGAAGAACGCAGCGAAAUGCGAUACGUAGUGUGAAUUGCAGAAUUCAGUGAAUCAUCGAAUCUUUGAACGCACAUUGCACCUCUAGGUAUUCCGGGAGGUAUGCCUGUUCGAGCGUCAUUUGUACCCUCAAGCUCUGCUUGGUGUUGGGUGUUUGUUCCGCCUCUGUGUGUGAACUCGCCUCAAAACAAUUGGCAGCCGGCGUACUUGUUUCGGAGCGCAGCACAUUUUGCGAUCCAGAUCAACGUACAGCGGCAUCCAAGAAGCCUUAUUUAACGCUCUUGACCUCGGAUCAGGUAGGGAUACCCGCUGAACUUAAGCAUAUCAAUAAGCGGAGGA
rnacentral:misc_RNA from 1 species